AAUGUACUCCCUCCGUCCCAAAAUUCUUGUCUUAGAUUUGUCUAAAUACGGAUGUAUCUAAAGACAAGAAUUUUGGGACGGAGGGAGUACAAU
rfam:Triticum aestivum genome assembly, contig: Triticum_aestivum_CS42_TGACv1_scaffold_306521_4AS